GGAGACCUUAGGACAGGCGAGAUUACUUGCUAAGUUUAACCAUAUCAAUAAGCAAAAGAAAAUAAACAUACCAGGAUUCCUCAAGUAACGAUGAGCAAACUAAAAAAAACCCAACUUGAGAAUUGAGCACCUUUGGCAUCUGAAUUGUAGUGUGGAAAAACAUCUUUAGCAAUGGACCAAGCCCAAGUCCCCUAGAAAGGGGCACAAGAAAGGGUGAGAGCCCUAUCGUGCUUGGAUCUUGUAGCACCAUGAGGCACAGUCUGCGAGUCAAGUUGUUUGGGAACGUAGCCAUAAUCAGGCGAUAUAUGCUGUCCAAAGCUAUAUACAGGCAAGAGAUCAAUAACAAACAAGUACCACAAUGGAAAGAUGAAAAGGGACUUUGAAAAGAGAGUCAAAGAGUGCUUAAAAUUAUCGGGAGGGAUAAGGGUGACGAUAUGCCCCAGUCAAAUGUGAAAUGGCAAGAGUUGGUCUGUUGAUCAACUUGAUGCAUGGACUAACGUGGGUCACAGUAGAGGCCUAAGCUUGGGCUUUUAAUAUGCUCAUGGAGUUGUCAUUGUCGUUAUCAUGGAAUGCAGCACAUGCCAUCUUAGUGUGCUUUGGCACCAACAUGCUCCCAUUAAGCCCAUCUUGAAACAUGGACUAAAGAGUCUAACAUGUGUGUUAGUCAACGAGCUAUAAAACCUAUAAAGUGCAAGGAAGUUGAUUGGUGGGAUCCCACACAGGUGCACUAUGGAUUAACCUUAAUCUUCUAACAAAGGUUCAAGUGUGAACAUGCUUGUGGUGACCCAAAAGAUGGUGAACUAUGCUUAACUAAGGGAAAGCUAGAAGAAACUUUAGGGGAGGCCUAUAGCGAUAGUGACAUGCAAAUCAUUCAUUUGACUUGGGUAUAAGGGUAAAUGACUAAUUGAACUGUCUAGCAGCUGGUUCCUCAAAAGUUUCCCUUAGCAUAGCUAGAGCCCUUAGUGAGUUCUAUUGGGUAAAGCCAAUGACUAGAAACAUUGGGGGGUGCAACACUCUCGAACUAUUCUCAAACUUCAAAUAGGUACGAUGGUGCGACUGCUUCAUUGAGUUGCACCAUAAAGUUGAGGACCCCAAGUGGGCCAUUUUUGGUCAACAAAAUUGAUGAUGCAGGAUGAACCGAAAGCUAGGUUAUGGUGCCUAAUUGUGCGCUAACCUAGAACCCAUAAAGGGUGUUGGUCAAUUAAGACAGUAAGACAGUGGUCAUUUUGAAAUCUGCUAAAGAGUGUGUAACAACUCACCUGCUAAAUCAACUAGCCUUAAGAAUGAUGGUGCUUAAAUGCAUGACCUAUAGCCAAUCGUCAAGGCAAGUGCUAGGCCCUGAUGAGUAAGAAAGCGUGAUGGUCACUUCAAAACUCGAGGCAUGAGCUUAGGCAAAGCCACUAUCAAUGCAGAUCUUGGUGGUAGUAGCAAAUAUUCAAAUGAAAACUUUAAAGGACAAAAAAGGGAAAGGUUCCAUGUGUAUGACACUUACGCAUGGGUUAGUCGAUCCAUAGAGAUGGGGGAAACCCAUCCGAUAGUGCAUCCAGCAUGAGCAUCAAAAGAAAUCGGGUUAAAAUUUUUGAACCAGGAUGUGGCAGCUAACAACAACAUUAUGCAGUUUGGAAACAUUGACGGAGGCCUCAGGAAGAUUUAUCUUUUCUGUUUAACGGCUUGCCCACCCUAGAAACGACUUAGCUAGGGUAGGGUGCAAUGGCCAGUAGAGCACCGUACAUCAUGUGUUAUUUGGUACACCCCUAACAAACUUUGAAAAUCUAAAGGACUAAAUGCCAUCUGUGCUCGAUCAUACUCAUAGCUGCAUCAGGUCUCCAAGGUGAAUAACCUCUGGUCUAUUGAAUAAUGUAGGCAAGGGAAGUAGGCAAAAUGGAUCUAUAACCUCAAGAAAAGGAUUGGCACUAAGGGUUAGGCGUGGGCAUCGACUACUAGUGCACUAUUUGAGUUGCUCUCACAAUAAGCACAAAUCAUCGAGUGCUAAUAAAUAGAAGGACUAGGAACAACUCCUUUAAGGGCAUUCUCAAAGUGAUGAACAGUCGACUCAAAAUAGGUAUAGAUAAGGGGAAUCUAACUGUUUAAUUAAAAUAAAGCAUAGCAAUGGUCCCUACGGAUGCUUACAUAAUGUGACUUUUGCCCAAUGCUCUGAAUGUCAAAUUGAAGAAAUUCAACCAAGUGUGGGUAAACAACGAGAGUAACUGACUCUCUUAAGGUAGCCAAAUGCCUUGUCACCUAAUUAGUGAUGCACAUGAAUGGAUUAACAAGAUUCCCACCAUCCUUAUAUACUAUCCAGUGAAACCAUAGCUAAGUGAAUGGGCUUGGUAAAAUCAGUGGGGAAAGAAAACCCUAUUGAGCUUGACUUUAGUCUAACUUUGCAAAAUAACUUGAAAGGUGUAAUAUAAAUGAAAGCCUUCCAGCAAAAUUGAAAUACCAUUGCUUUUAACAUUAUUUUACUUAUUCUAUGAAUUAGAGGUAAAGCACGACCUCUUCUUUUAGACCUAAGGCCAGCCUUAGUUGGUUGAUCCUAGUGAAAGACAUUGUUAGGUGGGAAGUUUGGCUAGGAUGGCACAUCUAUUAAAAGAUAACACAGGUGUCUUAUGAUAAGCUCAAUGGGAACAGAAAUCUCAUGUGGGACAAAAGGGUAAAAGCUCAUUUGAUUUUGAUUUCAAGUACAAAUAUAAACCAUGAAAGCAUGGCCUAUUGAUCUUUUAGACCUUCAAAAUUUAAAGCUAGAGGUGCCAAAAAAGUUACCACAGUGAUAAAUGGCUGUGGCAACCAAGCAUUCAUAGUGACGUUACUUUUUGAUCCUUUGAUGUUGGUUUUUCCUAUCAUUAUGAAGUAGAAUUCACCAAGUGUUAGAUUGUUCACCCACCAAUAUGGAACAUAAGCUGGGUUUAAACCAAUGUGAGACAAGUUAGUUUUGCCCUAGUGAUGGUAGCGUUGCAAUAGUAAUUUAACCUAGCAUAAGAGGAAUCAUUGAUUUGCAUAAUUGGUCAUUAUGCUUGGUUAAAAAGCUAGUGACACAAAGCUACUGAGUGUUGGAUUAUGACCGAAUGCCUUUAAGUCAAAAUUUGGGCUAGAAGUGAUGCACAUGCCCGUCACCUGAUUGCCAACCCACAGUAGGGCCCCAUAGCCCUCAAGGGAACAUUUUAUAGGUGUAGCAUUUGUGGUAGACAAGCCUUGUAAGCCUCUUGGGAGCUCAAUUCCCAUUAAGCAGCGAGUAGAAUCCUUUGCAAAUGGCUUAAAUACUUAAUGGGGUAUUGUAAGUGGUAGAGUGACCUUGCUGCCACGAUCCACUUAGAUUCAACCCUUUGUCGGUUUGAUUCGU
rnacentral:rRNA from 1 species